rnacentral:rRNA from 1 species
CUACGGGUCGCACCAGUGGGGAAUUUUGCGCAAUGGGGGAAACCCUGACGCAGCAAUACCGCGUGAGUGAAGAAGGCCUUUGGGUCGUAAAGCUCUUUUCUUGGGGAAGAUAGUGACGGUACCCAAGGAAUAAGCACCGGCUAACUCCGUGCCAGCAGCCGCGGUAAUACGGAGGGUGCAAGCGUUGUUCGGAGUUACUGGGCGUAAAGGGCACGUAGGCGGCACAGCAAGUUAAGGGUGAAAUCCCGGGGCUCAACUCCGGAACUGCUCUUAAAACUGCUGAGCUAGAGAUAGUCAGAGGCGGGUGGAAUUCCAGGUGUAGAGGUGAAAUUCGUAGAUAUCUGGAGGAACACCGGUGGCGAAGGCGGCCCGCUGGGGCUAUUCUGACGCUAAGGUGCGAAAGCGUGGGGAGCAAACGGGAUUAGAUACCCGCGUAGUC